UCAGGUAGGGAUACCCGCUGAACUUAAGCAUAUCAAUAAGCGGAGGAAAAGAAACCAACAGGG
rnacentral:rRNA from 1 species